rnacentral:lncRNA from 1 species
GGGGCGGCAGUGCACAGGAUGUGAGGGGACGGCUUCGGCUGUGCCCAUCUCUCUGUACUUCCUACGUUCGGAAUUCAAACUCGAAAGUAGGGGGACUAGUGUUGGGUAUAAAAUACCCCCAGCCGAAGUCCUCAACAGAAUCAACAACUCCGCUAGCAAGGCCGACCUUUAAGGCUAGCUUCGUCCGGACUCCUACAGGAGCCGGACUUCGCCCUCGACUCCAACAGCUGCAAAAUAGACUGCGUCCGGACUCCUACAGGAGCCGGACUCCGCCGACAACUCCGACCACAAGCAGACUCCGCCCGGACUCCUACGGGAGUCGGGCUCCGUCCUCAA